UCUAAUAUUUUAAUACAAUUUAGGUUCCAAAAACCAAAAGAUGGGUUAUAGGGAGUUUUACAGAUACAAACGAAUUCAGUGUUAUACCAACACAUUGGUUGAUUAGGACAUCAAGUCUAGCUAGAUGGCCGGACUAUUAUUUAUUGUAAAUGGCCACCACCACCGACUACUGUUACUAGUGACAUCAUUAAUAUAGCAAGUGAACCUCAGAUUGAUUGGCCAAGCUAUAAGAUUCAUUUGGCAAAUAAUGGUAAAGAAUUUACUAAUUUCAAGAAAGCAUGGCAUCACAAAUUGGUUUUGAGCUCAGACUCAUCUGCGAACGAAGUCGAUGAAUUAAAAAAUAAAAAGCCAUGUAGUCAAGCUCAAAAAUCUAAUUUUAAUAAGGAUUCAGAUUCUUUUGAAUCUGAAGAAGAAGUAUAUAAUAUAUUGGUGCUGCAGGGUGUAGAGAAGAAUACACACAAAAUAUUAUCUACUGCCAACUCCAAUC